rnacentral:lncRNA from 15 species
AUGUCAGUGUCCAUCAGUCCGUCAGUGUCCAUCAGUGUCCGUCAGUCCGUCAGUGUCCGUCAGUCCAUCAGUCCCCGUCAGUCCGUCAGUGUCCGUCAGUCCCCGUCAGUGUCCGUCAGUCCCCGUCAGUGUCCGUCAGUCCAUCAGUCCCCGUCAGUGUCUGUCAGUGUCCGUCAGUCCAUCAGUGUCCAUCAGUCCCCGUCAGUCUGUCAGUGUCCGUCAGUCCAUCAGUGUCCAUCAGUCCCCGUCAGUGUCUGUCAGUGUCCGUCAGUCCGUCAGUGUCCGUCAGUCCGUCAGUCCCCGUCAGUGUCCGUCAGUGUCCGUCAGUGUCCAUCAGUGUCCGUCAGUCCAUCAGUGCCCGUCAGUCCCCGUCAGUCCCCAUCAGUCCAUCAGUGUCCGUCAGUCCGUCAGUGUCCGUCAGUGUCCGUCAGUGUCCGUCAGUCCAUGUCAGUGUCCAUCAGUCCGUCAGUGUCCAUCAGUGUCCGUCAGUCCGUCAGUGUCCGUCAGUCCGUCAGUGUCCGUCAGUCCAUCAGUCCCCGUCAGUGUCCGUCAGUGCCUGUCAGUCCAUCAGUGUCCAUCAGUCCCCGUCAGUCUGUCAGUGUCCGUCAGUCCAUCAGUGUCCAUCAGUCAUCAGUCCCCGUCAGUCUGUCAGUGUCCGUCAGUCCAUCAGUGUCCAUCAGUCCCCGUCAGUGUCUGUCAGUGUCCGUCAGUCCGUCAGUGUCCAUCAGUCCCCGUCAGUGUCUGUCAGUGUCCGUCAGUCCGUCAGUGUCCAUCAGUCCCCGUCAGUCCGUCAGUGUCCAUCAGUCCCCGUCAGUGUCUGUCAGUGUCCGUCAGUCCGUCAGUGUCCAUCAGUCCCCGUCAGUGUCCGUCAGUGUCCGUCAGUGUCCGUCAGUCCGUCAGUGUCCGUCAGUCCAUCAGUCCCCGUCAGUGUCCGUCAGUGUCCGUCAGUGCCUGUCAGUCCAUCAGUGUCCGUCAGUGUCCGUCAGUCCAUCAGUGUCCAUCAGUGUCCAUCAGUGUCCGUCAGUCCAUCAGUGUCCGUCAGUGUCCGCACUUUCUGCUCAGCGUCUCUCUCCUGUGAGCCAGUGGUUGAGCUCUCUCUAUCGGACAGACCUGUAUCUUCUGUACCAAUCUAUCAGCUUUUCUUCCAGUAGCUCCAAAUCAAUGGCAGAUUCUUUUAUUACUCUACACUAA